GGCGAACGGGUGAGUAAUGCAUCGGAACGUGCCCAGGAGUGGGGGAUAGCCUGGCGAAAGCCGGAUUAAUACCGCAUACGCCCUGAGGGGGAAAGCGGGGGAUCUUCGGACCUCGCGCUGAUGGAGCGGCCGAUGUCGGAUUAGCUAGUUGGUGGGGUAAAGGCUCACCAAGGCGACGAUCCGUAGCUGGUCUGAGAGUACGACCAGCCACACUGGGACUGAGACACGGCCCAGACUCCUACGGGAGGCAGCAGUGGGGAAUUUUGGACAAUGGGGGCAACCCUGAUCCAGCCAUGCCGCGUGAGUGAAGAAGGCCUUCGGGUUGUAAAGCUCUUUCGCGAGGAAAGAAAACUUAGCCAAUAACACUGGCUGAGGCUGACGGUACCUUGAGAAGAAGCACCGGCUAACUACGUGCCAGCAGCCGCGGUAAUACGUAGGGUGCGAGCGUUAAUCGGAAUUACUGGGCGUAAAGCGUGCGCAGGCGGUUUCGUAAGCCAGAUGUGAAAUCCCCGGGCUUAACCUGGGAACUGCGUUUGGAACUGCGAGGCUAGAGUGUGUCAGAGGGAGGUAGAAUUCC
rnacentral:rRNA from 1 species